CUGAGGCCGACGCUGGGGUUGCAUUUCCUCCCCCAGCUGCACACAAACACAGACCCGGGCAAGUGUUUCACGCCGGAGCCCCUGCCCCCGUGCCCACCCCGCCCUGUGUGCCUGGCAACAGAGAAGGGAAAGCACUUCCCGUGCUAAGACCUCCCUGGGGAACGCGAGGCCUGGGCCGAGGGAAAAAUGAGGCUGGCAGGGGGCCAGCAGCCAGUUCUUCAGCCGCCCCUACAGGGUCAGGACCAGGGUUCCAGCCGGCUCUGUUCAGGGUGCUCGGGUUCAGUUUGGCAGGUCUUUGAGCACCUCCUAUGUGCAGAAACCCAAAUGUUGUGGAGAAAGCAGAGAAGACCCAGGCUCCAUGUACAGGGACCUCCUCGCGGGUACAGGGAACCUGCCGACACCGCGGUGACCUGAAGGGAUGGUGGGGAGAGGGUCCCACCGGGGGGCCACCUGGGGGCAUGUAGGAGACAAAGCUGCUUCCUGACUUUCUUCCGGGGGAAUAGAAGGCAUGCGGGCUUUGGUGGGUAUUCUCAGCCUCCUGAGCUUCCCACGACCUCUUUCUUUCAGGGCCUGUUGCUCUUUGGUCUCAGACGUCGGAUUUUGGGGAACAUGCUAGCAUUCUCUGAGCCUCCCGGCCAUGGUGCUCUUUGCGGGUGCAGGAGGCCUGUCUGGUUCAGGAGAACUUGAGCAGCGGAAGCCUAUGAGGAAGGAGACCUUACUUCCAUGUUCCCCCAUGUGGCUGCUUCAGGGAGCUGUCACAUGGGGGGCUGUGGGCAUGAGAGAUGCAGAGCCCCAAGCCCUGGGCUGGCCUCAGGCGGCAGCGCUGGGGUGUAGGCCGUUCCCCAGGUCUGCUCAGGGUGGAGCGCCCACCUCGCCGGGUCCUCCAAGGUCCACAGCCCUUCUUCAACCUCCCCAGACCUACUUGCGUUUAGUGUCUGUCAAAGUCUUCAGCAUCUGAGUAUCUCCAGGAGGACUCCCUGAAGCCAGUGGCGUCAGCGUUUGCUCAAGCAAGGCCUGCAUUACCAGAACCCACUGCCAGGCAUGUGCUCUAGCGUCUCCUGAUUCCCACCUGACCCAACUGGCUGCUAACAUUGCCUGCUGAGACUGAGAAGACAUGAAAACCCCGGGCAUCUCCCAUGAGGCUGCAGACGGAGCGUGAGGAUGUAGACAUUGUUCAACUCGCAGGCUGGCUGUCAGAUUGGGGUUUCUUCUGCUUUGCAUGUCUGUGAGGACUUCUUUCACAGAGAAUGUUUUAGGAGUGUUUUCACAAAAACUAAGCUUACUGUACAUAG